AGUGGCGGACGGGUGAGUAACGCGUGAGAAUCUGCCUUGGGGUCGGGGACAACCACUGGAAACGGUGGCUAAUACCGGAUAAGCCGAUUGGUGAAAGAUUUAUUGCCCGAAGAGGAGCUCGCGUCUGAUUAGCUAGUUGGUGAGGUAAGAGCUCACCAAGGCAGCGAUCAGUAGCUGGUCUGAGAGGACGAUCAGCCACACUGGGACUGAGACACGGCCCAGACUCCUACGGGAGGCAGCAGUGGGGAAUUUUCCGCAAUGGGCGAAAGCCUGACGGAGCAAGACCGCGUGAGGGAGGAAGGCUCUUGGGUUGUAAACCUCUUUUCUCAGGGAAGAAGCUCUGACGGUACCUGAGGAAUCAGCCUCGGCUAACUCCGUGCCAGCAGCCGCGGUAAUACGGAGUAGGCAAGCGUUAUCCGGAAUUAUUGGGCGUAAAGCGUCCGCAGGUGGCGAUUCAAGUCUGCUGUCAAAGCACGGGGCUUAACUCCGUAAAGGCAGUGGAAACUGAAUAGCUAGAGUGCCGUAGGGGUAGAGGGAAUUCCCGGUGUAGCGGUGAAAUGCGUAGAGAUCGGGAAGAACAUCGGUGGCGAAAGCGCUCUACUGGACGGCAACUGACACUCAGGGACGAAAGCUAGGGGAGCGAAUGGGAUUAGAUACCCC
rnacentral:rRNA from 1 species